rnacentral:rRNA from 1 species
GAUGAACGCUGGCGGCGUGCCUAAUACAUGCAAGUCGAGCGAAUGGAUUAAGAGCUUGCUCUUAUGAAGUUAGCGGCGGACGGGUGAGUAACACGUGGGUAACCUGCCCAUAAGACUGGGAUAACUCCGGGAAACCGGGGCUAAUACCGGAUAACAUUUGAACCGCAUGGUUCGAAAUUGAAAGGCGGCUUCGGCUGUCACUUAUGGAUGGACCCGCGUCGCAUUAGCUAGUUGGUGAGGUAACGGCUCACCAAGGCAACGAUGCGUAGCCGACCUGAGAGGGUGAUCGGCCACACGGGGACUGAGACACGGCCCAGACUCCUACGGGAGGCAGCAGUAGGGAAUCUUCCGCAAUGGACGAAAGUCUGACGGAGAAACGCCGCGUGAGUGAUGAAGGCUUUCGGGUCGUAAAACUCUGUUGUUAGGGAAGAACAAGUGCUAGUUGAAUAAGCUGGCACCUUGACGGUACCUAACCAGAAAGCCACGGCUAACUACGUGCCAGCAGCCGCCGUAA